CACGUGUUUUCUUUCCCAGGCCACGUUGUGUAAUGCGAUAAUUCUAUCGAUCUAAAAUUAUAUAUCGCGAAUAAUCGUCGGGUAUCGGGUUAAAAUCGCGUGAUAUAAGGCGAAAUUUUCCCAGCUGUUCUACCAUUUCUCGUUUUAAUCUGCAAGAUGUCGAAGACGUGUCUUCUCGUAGUCUUUCUAGGUUUGCUAAUGAUCGUGCCCAUUCACGGAAUUACGGGAGAAGAGGCUUGGCCACCCUGUUAUCGUGAUAAAUGUCGUCAAACCUGCCUAACACGAGGAUACACAAAAGGGUUGUGCGAAGAACACGUCAAAUUUGACGUCUUAUACAAGAGGUGCAACUGUUACAACGA
rnacentral:lncRNA from 1 species